rnacentral:rRNA from 1 species
CCUACGGGAGGCAGCAGUGGGGAAUAUUGGGCAAUGGGCGCAAGCCUGACCCAGCAACGCCGCGUGAAGGAAGAAGGCUUUCGGGUUGUAAACUUCUUUUCUCAGGGACGAAAAAAGUGACGGUACCUGAGGAAUAAGCCAAGGCUAACUACGUGCCAGCAGCCCCGGUAAUACGUAGGUGGCAAGCGUUAUCCGGCUUUAUUGGGUGUAAAGGGCGUGUAGGCGGGAGGGUAAGUCAGAUGUGAAAACUCAGGGCUCAACCCUGAGCCUGCAUUUGAAAUUGUGUUUCUUGAGUGCAGGAGGGGCAGGCGGAAUUCCUGGUGUAGCGGUGAAAUGCGUAGAUAUCAGGAGGAACACCGGUGGCGAAGGCGGCCUGCUGAACUGCAACUGACGUUGAGGCCCGAAAGCGUGGGGAGCAAACAGGAUUAGAUACCCCUGUAGUC